UACGGGAGGCAGCAGUAGGGAAUCUUCCGCAAUGGGCGAAAGCCUGACGGAGCAACGCCGCGUGAGUGAUGAAGGUCUUCGGAUCGUAAAACUCUGUUAUCAGGGAAGAACAAAUGUGUAAGUAACUGUGCACAUCUUGACGGUACCUGAUCAGAAAGCCACGGCUAACUACGUGCCAGCAGCCGCGGUAAU
rnacentral:rRNA from 2 species